CGAAUCCUUAUCGUGAGACUGCGGACGGCUCAUAUAUCAUGAUUAUCUGUUUGAUUGUCUUCCCCAUUGGAUAACCGUGGGAAAUCUAGAGCUAAUACAUGCAGUUAAUUGGCAGUAUCGCAAGGUAUUGUCAAAGCAUUUAUUAGACUUAACCAUCUACUGUGUGGCAACACACGGUAAGGCGAAUCUAGAUAACUUUGCUGAUCGUAUGGCCUAGUGCCGACGACGUUUCAAUUGAGUUUCUGCCCUAUCAAUUUGUUGGUAAGGUAUUGGCUUACCAAGGUUGCAACGGGUAACGGGGAAUCAGGGUUCGAUUCCGGAGAGGGAGCCUGAGAAACGGCUACCACAUCCAAGGAAGGCAGCAGGCGCGCAAAUUACCCAAUCUAGACAGUAGGAGGUGGUGAAGAGAAGUACUGAGUGGUGGCCUUUUGGUUACCAACUUGGAAUGAACGUAAUUUAAGCAAUUCGUUGAGUAACUACUGGAGGGCAAGUCCUGGUGCCAGCAGCCGCGGUAAUUCCAGCUCCAGUGGCGUGAUUUAAAGUUGCUGCGUUUAAAACGCUCGUAGUUGGAUCACGCAGUAGUAUUCAGUUAUCUGGAUUUGGGCGAUGCUGACAUUUUUCUCAACAGAUUAAUGAAUCUUUGCUAAUCCAGAUAAACCCGCUGAAUGCUACUAUUUGCACACAAGUAUGGUAUUUGGCCUUUAGUGAGUUGAGUAUCAUGCCUUGUGGAGUGUGCCUUGAAUAAAACAGAGUGCUCAAAGCAGCGUACGCUUGAAUGUUAUAGCAUGGAACGAACAAACGUGUAUUUGCACAUGGUAUUUCACUUUGAGGGCAACUUUGGAGUGGGAUCCAUGUGCAGCACCCACCAAAAUACGGAUGUUGGUUUUCGUAUAUGUGAUGAUUACAGAGCGUUGGGGGCAUUGGUAUUUGCCGCGAGAGUGAAAUUCUGGACGGCAGACUACAGAUGCGAAGCGUUUGUCUAGACCGUUCAUAUCAGACG
rnacentral:rRNA from 1 species